CCCAGUGUGGCAUAGGGGUUUGAGUGUUGGACUACAACUCCAGAGACCAGGGUUUGAAUCCCCACUGAGC